UACGGAGGGUGCAAACGUUGCUCGGACUCAUGGGGCGUAAAGCGCACGUAGGCGGUUCGUUAUGUCGGAUGUGAAAGCCUCGGGCUUAACCCGAGAAGUGCAUCCGAAACUGGCGGGCUUGAGUACGGAAGAGGGUCUCGGAAUUCCCGGUGUAGAGGUGAAAUUCGUAGAUAUCGGGAGGAACACCAGUGGCGAAGGCGGGGACCUGGGCCGAUACUGGCGCUGAGGUGCGAAAGCGUGGGGAGCAAACAGG
rnacentral:rRNA from 1 species